rnacentral:rRNA from 1 species
UACGAACCGAGCGAACGUUGUUCGGAAUCACUUGGCUUAAAGGGCGCGUAGGCGGGUGCUCAAGUCCGUGGUGAAAUCCUCCGGCUCAACCGGAGAACUGCCUCGGAUACUGGGUGCCUCGAGGGUGGUAGGGGUAUGCGGAACUAUCGGUGGAGCGGUGAAAUGCGUUGAUAUCGAUAGGAACUCCGGUGGCGAAGGCGGCAUACUGGACCACCUCUGACGCUGAGGCGCGAAAGCCAGGGGAGCAAACGGG